rnacentral:tRNA from 1 species
UCCCCGAUAGCUCAAUGGUAGAGCACCCGGCUGUUAACCGGGUUGUUGUAGGUUCGAGCCCUACUCGGGGAGCCA